GAAGGUUCUCAUUUUAAUUAAGAAAUAGUGAAAGGGAGGACAGAGAUUUGUGUGUACAUAUAUAGUUACUGCUUUCAGCAUUGCAUCAAAGGCACAAAACCAGCAGGAAAUAUAAAAGGGUUUUAUAACCUCAUUCCAAACGUUUAAAUUUUCAAGCUCCAGUUACAGGCUAAUAUCUCUAAUUUAUUGUUCCUAUGCAAACGUUGUUUGUAUCAUAAGCCUUUGACAAAUGACUGACUCUUCUGUUGACAAAUGUUCUUUCCAGCAUCCCAUGAGUGUCCAUACAAAUGCAUUAGUAUAAGGAAUGUGAAAAGGUAUUUUAAUAAAGAAAUCUUUGAAUUGAACUUUGCAUUGGAUGUGGCAUGUUCCUGUUGGUGACCACUUGCAAAUGAAUGCCUGUGAAAUUUUUAAUUAGUGAUGAACUGUGUAGAUAUGUUGUUUAAAUUAACGUACGGAAGAUGUCAUCUCUGCAACAAGUGAUUCCAGGCACUGGGCUCUGGUGCCAGGAACCAGUUUAGCAGCAGGUAAAUGCACUCACUUGGUUUCAGAGUUGAGCAUGGGAGUGCUUUGUUCACCUAAGUGUUGAGCUAAAUUACAAAGGUAAAAGUUCCUCCACAAACCUUUCCCCAGUCCCUGGCACAGCUUACGUUUGCACUAGGCAUGUUCAGGGAGAGGCUUACCCACCCCGCAGCCUUGCUUGCUUAACUUUAUACUAUCUUUAUCAUUGCAGAGCAGAGGCCUUAGGGACAAGAUACAGAAAUGCUGUAAAUCAACAGACUCUUCCUCCUUGCCACUGUUAAUGUUUUUUUUUCAUUUCCAGCAAACUAGCAGCUGCUUAUUUUCUUCUCUAACUUAUCUCUGUGUGCCCUUUCGUGGAAAUAUCAGUGAUGAUGUGCUGGCUGGUUCGUGCUGGAAACUACCUGUGAGGGUGCUGAGCAGCGUGGCCGUCUGUCUGCUCCUGCUUUGGUGGCAGCAGGCGAGAGGGACCCUGCCCGGAGCCCACCUUUGCUGCUGCCGGUCCGGCAGCACCCGGCGCUGAUCCGGUGCUGACCCCUGGUGGCAACUGACCUUGGCUUCUUUCUCUCGCACGUAGGUUAGUGAAUAGUUUAUAAAUGCUGGGGACUACUUCUGUGCAGAGUAAAUAUGCUGCUCAUCGGUGGGUGAAUAAACCUUAGAGUUUAUUUACUUUUCUGGGGUGCUAUGUGCUUGUUCUAACUGUUGGUUUGUGAGCGUGGUUCAGUUCAAGUUCUUAAUGUUGCAAUUCAUCACUAAGCUGUCUUGCAUCAUAAACUGCCAGCUUUUGGGGCAGGGGCAGUAAUGCUGUCAGACUGGCUACAGCCAGAUCUGUUGUGAGGGAAAGGUCAGCUACAGGGAAAAGAAACAGAGUUUGAGAAAAACAGAUGUAUUGAGUGAAAAAAAAA
rnacentral:lncRNA from 1 species